UUACCAUCUGCAAACUGCACGUACAAACCACCAAAUGCAGAAAGGUUGUGGGCCACUUUAAACACAGUCCAGCAUGCGCUGCAGAAUUAGAACAACAAACUGAACAUGGACAAAAGGAGUCGCUUAUACAAGACAUUCCAACCAGAUGGAAUUCGACUCUGGACAUGACAAAAAGCGUCUGCAAAAAUGAACAGCCACUGAGGGAUGUCCUCACCACACACACUACCAAGAUUGACAUGCCAACUACAGCUAAAACAAACUGCAGAGCUUGGAAACGCUACUGGAGCCCUGCAGGUAUGUGACUGAACUUCUGGGAGGAGAAAAAUACGUUUCAUGCUCUGUGGUUCUGCCUGCUUUUUGCCAUCUCUCUUGGGUGAUGGAGACCUCGGAUGAGGACCCUGCCUACGUGGUCAAAUUCAAGUCAACAUUCAGAACAGACCUGGAGACGUGCAAGGAACGUGCCAACAUUGCAUAUCUGAAGAUUGCUACCCAUUGGACCCAAGAUUCAAGGACCUCAAGUGUAUACCCAGAGCUCAGAGGGGUGAGGUGUGGGCCUGUGGAAACAACAACAUCAGAGCCACCAAAGAAAAAGUUAAGUUUUAUUGGCUGCUUCAUCAGAGUCUGAUUCUGAACAGGAAGAAGACUCAGAUGAGAACAGUGUGCGACAAUACAGAGCGGAGCCCACCAUCAGUACAGAGGUCUGUCCAUUAGAGUGGUGGUCCAAACAUGCAGGCUCACACAGCAGGCUGGUCUCCAUUGCACAGAAAUACUUGGCCACACCUGCAACAUCCGUACCCUGUGAAAGGUUGUUUUCUCUUGCUGGUCAUAUUGUACAGAAGAAGAGAGUUUCUUUAUCAUCUGAAAAUGUAAAUGACCUUGUGUGUCUGAGCAAAUGGCUUGGUGUAGAGGAGUAGGAAUAAGUCCCCUAAACAGUAAAUCCCAGCUGUGUACUUUUUUUGUGCUCUUCCACUUCACCUCACUCUAACAGGGACACUUGCUACUGAACAUUGACUGUUUAUGCUGCUCCCUGAU